rnacentral:lncRNA from 1 species
CAGUGUGGAGGACCAGCUAGUGCAACUGCCAGCUCGACUUUACCAUCACCAGGAGGCCUUUGAAAAUUGUUCUAAUGUUUUGCAGUCUGCACAUUUCACCCAGGAGUAAAACUUUUGACUUCAAGCAUUUUUGUUCGGUCUCUUAAAUCCUAACGUUCCAGUGAGCAAUUUCAAUGCUUGAACACACGUGCCUAGACUAUU